rnacentral:rRNA from 1 species
GGUGAUAAUUACAAUGAGGAUACACCUGUUCCCAUCCCGAACACAGAAGUUAAGCUCAUUAGUGCCGAAAAUACUUGCGGGUUACCCUGCUGGAAACAUAGGUCAUCGCCA